rnacentral:rRNA from 1 species
UCGGAUUAGCUAGUUGGUGGGGUAAAGGCCUACCAAGGCGACGAUCUGUAGCGGGUCUGAGAGGAUGAUCCGCCACACUGGGACUGAGACACGGCCCAGACUCCUACGGGAGGCAGCAGUGGGGAAUAUUGGACAAUGGGGGGAACCCUGAUCCAGCCAUGCCGCGUGUGUGAAGAAGGCCUUAUGGUUGUAAAGCACUUUAAGCGAGGAGGAGGCUACUGAGACUAAUACUCUUGGAUAGUGGACGUUACUCGCAGAAUAAGCACCGGCUAACUCUGUGCCAGCAGCCGCGGUAAUACAGAGGGUGCGAGCGUUAAUCGGAUUUACUGGGCGUAAAGCGUGCGUAGGCGGCUUUUUAAGUCGGAUGUGAAAUCCCCGAGCUUAACUUGGGAAUUGCAUUCGAUACUGGGAAGCUAGAGUAUGGGAGAGGAUGGUAGAAUUCCAGGUGUAGCGGUGAAAUGCGUAGAGAUCUGGAGGAAUACCGAUGGCGAAGGCAGCCAUCUG